GGUUAAGCGACUAAGCGUACACGGUGGAUGCCCUGGCAGUCAGAGGCGAUGAAGGACGUGCUAAUCUGCGAAAAGCGUCGGUAAGGUGAUAUGAACCGUUACAGCCGGCGAUGUCCGAAUGGGGAAACCCAGUGCAAUUCGUUGCACUAUCGUUAACUGAAUACAUAGGUUAACGAGGCGAACCGGGGGAACUGAAACAUCUAAGUACCCCGAGGAAAAGAAAUCAACCGAGAUUCCCCCAGUAGCGGCGAGCGAACGGGGAGCAGCCCGGAGUCUGAAUCAGCUUGUGUGUUAGUGGAAGCGUCUGGAAAGUCGCAGGGUACAGGGUGAUACUCCCGUACACUAAAACACACAGGCUGUGAACUCGAAGAGUAGGGCGGGACACGUGGUAUCCUGUCUGAAUAUGGGGGGACCAUCCUCCAAGGCUAAAUACUCCUGACUGACCGAUAGUGAACCAGUACCGUGAGGGAAAGGCGAAAAGAACCCCGGCGAGGGGAGUGAAAAAGAACCUGAAACCGUGUACGUACAAGCAGUAGGAGCCCACUAGUUGGGUGACUGCGUACCUUUUGUAUAAUGGGUCAGCGACUUAUAUUCUGUAGCAAGGUUAACCGAAUAGGGGAGCCGCAGGGAAACCGAGUCUUAACUGGGCGUUAAGUUGCAGGGUAUAGACCCGAAACCCGGUGAUCUAGCCAUGGGCAGGUUGAAGGUUGGGUAACACUAACUGGAGGACCGAACCGACUAAUGUUGAAAAAUUAGCGGAUGACUUGUGGCUGGGGGUGAAAGGCCAAUCAAACCGGGAGAUAGCUGGUUCUCCCCGAAAGCUAUUUAGGUAGCGCCUCGUGAACUCAUCUUCGGGGGUAGAGCACUGUUUCGGCUAGGGGGUCAUCCCGACUUACCAACCCGAUGCAAACUACGAAUACCGAAGAAUGUUAUCACGGGAGACACACGGCGGGUGCUAACGUCCGUCGUGAAGAGGGAAACAACCCAGACCGCCAGCUAAGGUCCCAAAGUCAUGGUUAAGUGGGAAACGAUGUGGGAAGGCCCAGACAGCCAGGAUGUUGGCUUAGAAGCAGCCAUCAUUUAAAGAAAGCGUAAUAGCUCACUGGUCGAGUCGGCCUGCGCGGAAGAUGUAACGGGGCUAAACCAUGCACCGAAGCUGCGGCAGCGACACUAUGUGUUGUUGGGUAGGGGAGCGUUCUGUAAGCCGUUGAAGGUGGCCUGUGAGGGUUGCUGGAGGUAUCAGAAGUGCGAAUGCUGACAUAAGUAACGAUAAUGCGGGUGAAAAACCCGCACGCCGGAAGACCAAGGGUUCCUGUCCAACGUUAAUCGGGGCAGGGUGAGUCGACCCCUAAGGCGAGGCCGAAAGGCGUAGUCGAUGGGAAACAGGUUAAUAUUCCUGUACUUGGUGUUACUGCGAAGGGGGGACGGAGAAGGCUAUGUUGGCCGGGCGACGGUUGUCCCGGUUUAAGCAUGUAGGCGGAUGUUCCAGGUAAAUCCGGAACGUUAUUAACGCUGAGGUGUGAUGACGAGGCACUACGGUGCUGAAGUGACAAAUGCCCUGCUUCCAGGAAAAGCCUCUAAGCAUCAGGUAACAUCAAAUCGUACCCCAAACCGACACAGGUGGUCAGGUAGAGAAUACCAAGGCGCUUGAGAGAACUCGGGUGAAGGAACUAGGCAAAAUGGUGCCGUAACUUCGGGAGAAGGCACGCUGAUGGUAAGUGAAGUGACUUGCUCAUGGAGCUGAAAUCAGUCGAAGAUACCAGCUGGCUGCAACUGUUUAUUAAAAACACAGCACUGUGCAAACACGAAAGUGGACGUAUACGGUGUGACGCCUGCCCGGUGCCGGAAGGUUAAUUGAUGGGGUUAUCCUCACGGAGAAGCUCUUGAUCGAAGCCCCGGUAAACGGCGGCCGUAACUAUAACGGUCCUAAGGUAGCGAAAUUCCUUGUCGGGUAAGUUCCGACCUGCACGAAUGGCGUAAUGAUGGCCAGGCUGUCUCCACCCGAGACUCAGUGAAAUUGAACUCGCUGUGAAGAUGCAGUGUACCCGCGGCAAGACGGAAAGACCCCGUGAACCUUUACUAUAGCUUGACACUGAACACUGGUCCUUGAUGUGUAGGAUAGGUGGGAGGCUUUGAAGUGUGGACGCCAGUCUGCAUGGAGCCGUCCUUGAAAUACCACCCUUUAAUGGCUGGUGUUCUAACGUGGGCCCGUAAUCCGGGUUGCGGACAGUGUCUGGUGGGUAGUUUGACUGGGGCGGUCUCCUCCUAAAGAGUAACGGAGGAGCACGAAGGUCAGCUAAUCCUGGUCGGACAUCAGGAGGUUAGUGCAAUGGCAUAAGCUGGCUUGACUGCGAGCGUGACGGCGCGAGCAGGUGCGAAAGCAGGUCAUAGUGAUCCGGUGGUUCUGAAUGGAAGGGCCAUCGCUCAACGGAUAAAAGGUACUCCGGGGAUAACAGGCUGAUACCGCCCAAGAGUUCAUAUCGACGGCGGUGUUUGGCACCUCGAUGUCGGCUCAUCACAUCCUGGGGCUGAAGUAGGUCCCAAGGGUAUGGCUGUUCGCCAUUUAAAGUGGUACGCGAGCUGGGUUUAGAACGUCGUGAGACAGUUCGGUCCCUAUCUGCCGUGGGCGCUGGAGAAUUGAGGGGGGCUGCUCCUAGUACGAGAGGACCGGAGUGGACGCAUCACUGGUGUUCGGGUUGUCAUGCCAAUGGCAUUGCCCGGUAGCUAAAUGCGGAAGAGAUAAGUGCUGAAAGCAUCUAAGCACGAAACUUGCCCCGAGAUGAGUUCUCCCUGACUCCUUGAGAGUCCUGAAGGAACGUUGAAGACGACGACGUUGAUAGGCCGGGUGUGUAAGCGCAGCGAUGCGUUGAGCUAACCGGUACUAAUGAACCGUGAGGCUUAACCUU
rnacentral:rRNA from 1 species